UACGUGAGAGGCAAGCGUUGUCCGGAUUUACUGGGCGUAAAGCGCGCGCAGGCGGCAGUGCAAGUAAGGUGUGAAAUCUCCCCGCUCAACGGGGAGGGUGCAUUUUAGACUGCACAGCUAGAGGUCGGUAGAGGGGGGUGGAAUUGCUGGUGUAGCGGUGAAAUGCGUAGAGAUCAGCAGGAACACCCGUGGCGAAGGCGGCCCCCUGGGCCGUACCUGACGCUGAGGCGCGAAGGCUAGGGGAGCAAACGGG
rnacentral:rRNA from 1 species